CGCUACCCUGCUGGCCUCUGUGUUUCCUGCCCGCGCCCUAAGUCUAGGGAGGGUCUUCCGAGGUGAAAGGAGCGUCGGGUGACGGGCCCGCUGCGGGUGAUUUCCGGAGUCGCUGGGACGAGCCCCGUCCGGCGUCCCAGCGGCUCCGGCGCCUCGGGCAAAGGCUGCUGGCAGGCCGGUUCCGGGCCCGGUAGCAGCCCGGCGGUCCCCGCCCACUCGGCUGGAAGCCGCCGGACGGCUUUGAAAAACAAGAAAGGCGACCGUAAAGCAUGGGGAUUCAGAAGAAACGACCGCAAAAAACAGCAUCCUUCUCGGAGAGCUAGAGUAGCUGUUCACGCGAUGAGAGCGCAGGAUCUUUGCAGCAGGAUUAAGUGUGGUGGAGGGCUGUAAGGGAGACCCGUCUAACAGAUGUCAAGCGCCUUCUAAAGUUACUAGCCUAAGGCCUUUGGACUUCUGCUUUGUAAAUAAACGGCCCGUAACUUUGA